ensembl:lncRNA
AUUAAAUGAAUCCCGAGGUGAGAAGGAGGCAGCAACAACAAGUGCUCUUUAUCCUUGUUUAGAAGUCACUGCUUCUAACUAUGUUCACUCCUUAUAAUCAUUAAUAUCAAGAACUACAAAAUGAGGUCAACCUCUAUUAAAUGUAAUGACUUUGCCUGCGGAGUUGGCGAUGAAAACAGCGUCACAGCAAAGGUUUCCAUAUAGGGGGAAGCUUCUGUUUCAAAAGUCCCCUAACCCAGUGCAAUGGCUUUAUUUUUCACGUGCUGGUUAUAACAAAACGCAAAGACUAGGGUUGAGAUUUUAAUCAGCAAAAACCCAAGAAAAAGAGAAGAUAAAAAUCUGAAUGUGCAAAUUGGGAACACAAGAAGACCCAAAGACAGGUUGCUGCAGGUCUGAUGCCCCCAGCAAGCAGAUAGCGUGUGCUGUUUCGUGUGGUGGUGAAAUGAAUCUUGUCAUGGAUACAGGAGCUCAUUUUGAGAUGUGAAAGACCACUGGCUGCCUAGCAGCACUGCUGCCUUCCUGGCAGGGGAGUGCAGCCCUGUCCCACUGGCUUGAAAAGCAGGAGGUCUGGGCUCAGGAAUUUUCCAGCUAACCCAGCAGCCUGCAAAGGGGGCCCCUUACCAACACUGGUUUGGCCCCGUUCUGCACCAGCUCCGAUGUGCUGCCGCUGCUGGACUUUGCUUGGCACAAUGCAAUGCAGAGGAUCAGGUCUGCCAGGAGCAGGGCUCGCCUCUUGUUGGAGCAGUCAGGAAUGUGGACUCAAGAUGAAAUGAUGACAAUUCCCCAUCACAGCAGAACACUUCUCUGACUUUGCAGACUGUAUUUACAACCAGAAUGGAAUGUGUUCUGGGCAGAAACAACAGAAAAGCUGGGAGUUGAAUAUCGAACUUCAUGUCUUUAUCCUUGCUGUGAAGACAGACCUUCCACAUUGAGUGAAAAUGCCUGCGUAGAAUUCCAUGAACAAUACCUUAUUUCCUGAAUGGCUUCCAGAAGAAUCGUUGGUACUUAUAUUCUUAGAGGCUAUUAAUGGAUACGGAGGACUCAGAUGGCUGGUCAAGUGAAAAGCCUUGAUCAGAAUUCAGAGCUGUGUGUACCAGAUGUGUUGAGGAAAUGAUUUACUGUAAGCAAAAUAACUGCUCUUGGUUGAAGCACUGAAUCCAGUAAGAUGAAGAAUGUCAAAAGGAGUCUACGAAUGAGACCCAGGAUGGCAGUUCCACUCUUGAUUGAGAGGUUGAGGAAGUGGACUAAUGCAUGAGUGCUGUGAUAUAUCUGUCCAAGAAAAGGACGUUAAAACAUGGACUGCUGUGUUUUUUAAACCAGAGAAGAUCUGGGUUGUGAUCAUCCAAUCAAAAUGGACUUUGCACUUGAAUUAAUCAAGGGACUGUGUCAGUGGUUAUCCAUGAUGGAUCUGUUUCAGGAUUGGGUGGUAAAAUUUUAUUCUCAGAUUACGUAUAUAUGCUUAAGAGGGAAAGUAAUUUGGUAAGAAAUCUGUUACGAUCCCAUUGGACAAAAUGUGUAUAUAUAUAUAUAUUUUUAAAGUGACUUAAUAAAAGGUUUUGGUUUCUUUCAUGCUUUGUGUUUGUCCUUUCUGGCUGAAUCUUUUCUUGGUCAUGUUGAUAUUUAAGUGUGUUACAUUUUUGGUUGCUAUGAAAGUGAGAAAUACUUUAGCUGCCAAGCACUAAAGGCAAGGUAAAUUUUUUUAUGUUCUUGAUGUUUAAAAUGUGGUUUUCAUUUACAAAUUAUCUUCACUUUGCUAUGACUUUUAAUGAAUAUUUAUUCUGGUUUGUUCAUUCAGGUGCUUAAUGUUGGGCAUUUUUCUAAACUUGGUGUGUUGUCAGGGUGCUUCUGCUAAGCUUUCUGAAGUUAUUUUAACGUGGAAUCGGUAUCAUAUUGAAGGCUGGGCAAAUGUGUUAUAAUAAAGGAGUGCUUGAAUGUUUUCUGUAGGUUCGUUAGAUGUGCUUAUUCAGUCGUGUGUGUACAGAAACUUACCAGACUUCCUGGACAACAUACUUCCUAAACAGUCUAUUUUCCUAAAAUUGUUCUGGACAUGUACCUAAUCUGUUUCGCUGCUAUUUAAUGUGGGCAUUGCUUCCUGAUUCUGUACCAUGUAUUUGAUGAGGAAAACUGUGUUAAUUUUCUUACUGGUGCUGACUAUGGUUGCUUUUUCAAAUGAAUGUGAAGGUGGUUCUUACGUGAAAAUUCUUUGCAGAUUUUUUUGCGAAUGAAAUAAUUGAACUAUAUUUCAAGUACAUUUCGCUUGAAAUUCAUGGUUGUCUGUGUCAGUUUGGUCUUCAUGUGGAAGACAAAUCUCAUUCUGAAGUCUUAAGCAAUGGAGUUUUAGUG